rnacentral:rRNA from 1 species
AACGAACGCUGGCGGCAGGCCUAACACAUGCAAGUCGAGCGCCCGGAUUUAUCCGGGAGCGGCGCACGGGUGAGUAACGCGUGGGAACAUGCCCUGAAGUACGGAACAACCUGGGGAAACCUUGGCUAAUACCGUAUACGCCCUGAGGGGGAAAAAUUUAUCGCUUUGGGAUUGGCCCGCGUUGGAUUAGCUGGUUGGUGUGGUAACGGCGCACCAAGGCGACGAUCCAUAACUGGUCUGAGAGGAUGACCAGUCACACUGGGACUGGGACACGGCCCAGACUCCUACGGGAGGCAGCAGUGGGGAAUAUUGGACAAUGGGCGAAAGCCUGAUCCAGCCAUGCCGCGUGAGUGAAGAAGGCCUUCGGGUUGUAAAGCUCUUUCAGCGGGGACGAUGAUGACGGUACCCGCAGAAGAAGCCCCGGCUAACUUCGUGCCAGCAGCCGCGGUAA